rnacentral:rRNA from 1 species
GACGAACGCUGGCGGCGUGCUUAACACAUGCAAGUCGAACGGAAAGGCCCUGCUUUUGUGGGGUGCUCGAGUGGCGAACGGGUGAGUAACACGUGAGUAACCUGCCCUUGACUUUGGGAUAACUUCAGGAAACUGGGGCUAAUACCGGAUAGGAGCUCCUGCUGCAUGGUGGGGGUUGGAAAGUUUCGGCGGUUGGGGAUGGACUCGCGGCUUAUCAGCUUGUUGGUGGGGUAGUGGCUUACCAAGGCUUUGACGGGUAGCCGGCCUGAGAGGGUGACCGGCAACAUUGGGACUGAGAUACGGCCCAGACUCCUACGGGAGGCAGCAGUGGGGAAUAUUGCACAAUGGGCGGAAGCCUGAUGCAGCAACGCCGCGUGCGGGAUGACGGACUUCGGGUUGUAAACCGCUUUCGCCUGUGACGAAGCGUGAGUGACGGUAAUGGGUAAAGAAGCACCGGCUAACUACGUG